GACGUAGGGCGCGAGCGUUGUCCGGAAUCAUUGGGCGUAAAGAGCGUGUAGGCGGCCCGGUAAGUCCGCUGUGAAAGUCGGGGGCUCAACCCUCGAAUGCCGGUGGAUACUGUCGGGCUAGAGUGCGGAAGAGGCGAGUGGAAUUCCUGGUGUAGCGGUGAAAUGCGCAGAUAUCAGGAGGAACACCGAUUGCGAAGGCAGCUCGCUGGGACGUCACUGACGCUGAGACGCGAAAGCGUGGGGAGCAAACAGG
rnacentral:rRNA from 1 species